GUUUUUCCUUCAUUCCAUGUUUUUUCUUGGCCUCCUUGUGUGUGUUUAUGUUUGGUGUUCUUGCAUUAUUGGUGAAUUGAAGGGAGACGACAGCAGCGUUGUUUCUUCCUGGAUAUAUCUCGCUCCUAUUUCCUGGAUCUCUUCAUGGCACCUACCUAUUAUUCCCAGUUUCAAGAAUCUUUUUUUUUGCAUUGUUUUAUUUCAUUCCUAGUAGCUAGUAUCUUGAAAUCAAAGGGUGGGACUGGGAUCUAUACUACCUUGUGUUAUUUUUCUUGAGAGGAGUAUGGAGAAGAUGAAGAGAGAGUGCAGGAUGCAUGGUAGCUAGUUUCGUUCAUCCUGAAUGCAAAAACAAAUGCUCUUGUGAAUGAGUGAAGCUGCCAGCAUGAUCUAGCUUUGGUUGGCACCAUUGGCAGGCGCCCACACAGUGGCCUCUUCCGUGUGUGUAGUGCCGCUCUGUACCUGCAAAUCAUUGUUAGAUCAUGCAUGACAGCCUCAUUUCUUCACAAUUAUGGGCAUGUAUAUAUGCUGAUGAUGUCAUUUUCUUUAUGACCUUUGCUUUGCUCCAACUUUGAGAUCCAUCUGCAGCAUAUGCUUUCUGCUAUACUCCGUAUGUGUUAUUCUGCAGAUCUUGGAUGAACCAUCGAUCCCUGCAUGGUGGAGAAGCAUGAUGAAAGGGAAUGAAGAGGCAGUACAUUUUGUUCUCUGCUACAACAUGCCAUCUGCUUGUAUUGAUAUGAGGGGAAGGAAGAAAGAGGAAUAAUGAGCAUCAGGUCAUGCUGUAGUUUCAUCCGCUGGUGGGAGCACAUCGAAAACCCUAGCUAGCUGGAUUUAAUUUCCAUCUGUGCGCUGAAUCAUCAAAAUUUGGCUGGGGGUCAUCAGGUCAGUUCUUGUAGAAUCCAUUCAUGCUGUACCUGGAUCGGAUCAGGUAUAUAUGGUGAGAUCCAAAUCAGAUGUGUGGAUCAGAUUAAUUAGCUCAAGCUUGUUUCCGCCGUUGAGGUUGGUUUGUGAUAAUCUUCUUGUAGUUUCUUCUUUUGUGCUUUUGCUUCUCUCUUCGGUUCAGUUAUGCAGUAUGGAAAUUUGGGGUUUUCUUUCCAUGUAUGAUUCCUUCUUCAUCUCUCUCUCUCUCUCUCUCUCUCUCUCUCUCUCAAAAGAACAAUGUUUUUUUAUUCAGAUAAGAACAUUAAAUUUACACGGUGCUAGCACAGUGGUACCAUCUGAAAAUUCUAGUCGUUCUGAAAUGCAUGAAUUGCUCUAAUUCAACCGUGCUAAUUACCUUGAGAUGUUUGCAAAGUGCACUCCAAUAAUUUGCACAUUUGAGAUCCAAAAUGUUACAGUACAUCUCUCAUCCUUGCAGUUCAGUACGUGUUACUUUAAGUUUCUUGUCUGGCCUUGUAGGUAACAUCCGUCGUCAUCAGCAAAUGGGCCCUUGAGAAUCACUGUCAAAUUAAUUAAGCUCUGUGUUUAAUUAGCCUUGUGUAGCAGUAGAAGCCAGUUGGAUGGUCCUGUUUGUGACAUGGCUUAUCAAUUACAAUGCCUGUGUGGGUUCAGUACAAACUAUAUAUGCAGGAAUAUAUAUAAUUGGGCUUUGAGAAUAUAGGAUAUACUGUUUUCAUAACUGUGGCUACAUGUGAUUUUUUUUUCUUUGAAAGGCUGGCUACAUAAGAUUUCACUGUGUGAUCCUGCUAACAGUGCUGAUGAAAAACUGUGUCAUUUAUCAUGCAGCAAGGCAAGCAUUUAUGAUUA